AGUGAACGCUGGCGGUAGGCCUAACACAUGCAAGUCGAACGGCAGCACAGUAAGAGCUUGCUCUUACGGGUGGCGAGUGGCGGACGGGUGAGGAAUACAUCGGAAUCUACUUUUUCGUGGGGGAUAACGUAGGGAAACUUACGCUAAUACCGCAUACGACCUACGGGUGAAAGUAUGGGAUCUUCGGACCUUGCGCGAUUGAAUGAGCCGAUGUCGGAUUAGCUAGUUGGCGGGGUAAAGGCCCACCAAGGCGACGAUCCGUAGCUGGUCUGAGAGGAUGAUCAGCCACACUGGAACUGAGACACGGUCCAGACUCCUACGGGAGGCAGCAGUGGGGAAUAUUGGACAAUGGGCGCAAGCCUGAUCCAGCCAUACCGCGUGGGUGAAGAAGGCCUUCGGGUUGUAAAGCCCUUUUGUUGGGAAAGAAAAGCAGCAGGUUAAUACCCCGCUGUUCUGACGGUACCAAAAGAAUAAGCACCGGCUAACUUCGUG
rnacentral:rRNA from 1 species